rnacentral:rRNA from 1 species
UACAGAGGCCUCGAGCGUUAGGCGGAAUCACUGGGCUUAAAGAGCGUGUAGGCGGCUCGGUAAGUCCGCUGUGAAAGUCCAGGGCUCAACCCUGGAAUGCCAGUGGAAACUGUCGAGCUAGAGUCCGGAAGAGGCGAGUGGAAUUCCUGGUGUAGCGGUGAAAUGCGCAGAUAUCAGGAGGAACACCAAUGGCGAAGGCAGCUCGCUGGGACGGUACUGACGCUGAGACGCGAAAGCGUGGGGAGCAAACAGG